GACGAACGCUGGCGGCGUGCUUAACACAUGCAAGUCGAACGGUGAAAGCAGAGCUUGCUCUUACGGAUCAGUGGCAAACGGGUGUGACACACGUGAGUAACCUGCCUCAGACUCUGGUAUAAGCGCUGGAAUCGGCCUAUAAUACCGGAUACGCGACAGCGCCGCAUGGCUAGUGUCUGGAAAGUUUUUCGGUCUGGGAUGGACUCGCGGCCUAUCAGCUUGUUGGUGGGGUAACGGUUCACCAAGGCAACGACGGGUCGCCGGCCUGAGAGGGGGACGGGCCACACUGGGAUUAGGACACGGCCAAGACUCCAACGGGAGGCAGCGGUGGGAAUAAUUGCACAAGGGGCGAAAGCCUAAUGAGGAGACGCCGGUGGAGGAAUAAGGCCCUUCGGGUGGAAAACCUCUUUGAGCAGGAAGGAAGCGAAAGUGACGGUACCGGCAAAAGAAGCACCGGCUAACUACGUG
rnacentral:rRNA from 1 species